rnacentral:rRNA from 1 species
UACAGAGGUCUCGAGCGUUGUUCGGAUUCAUUGGGCGUAAAGGGUGCGUAGGUGGCCUGAUAAGGGUGUGGUGAAAGUCCGGGGCUCAACCCCGGAUCUGCCGUGCCGACUGUUAGGCUGGAGUACUGUAGGGGCAGGCGGAAUUCCGGGUGUAGCGGUGGAAUGCGUAGAGAUCCGGAGGAAGACCGGUGGCGAAGGCGGCCUGCUGGGCAGUUACUGACACUGAGGCGCGACAGCGUGGGGAGCAAACAGG